AGUGCCUGGCAGCACUGUGUUCCUGUUAGAGCCACCAGCACAAGCACCAGACGAUGCUGAUCCAGGUGAAGGCCCCAGUGCAGCAGCAACAGCACAUGAUGGAGACGAUGAUGAGGAGGAGACCAUCUCUCUGGAUUCCAGAAGGCAUGAGGACCCAGAUGCUAUACAGUGGGAAAACCAGCCUGGCAACAUAGUGCGUAUUAAUAAAAGGACACCACAUCCUGCCAAAUUCCAGCUGCGCUAAUUGUAUUGUGUUCACAGAGCUCACAAGCUAUCAGAAAGUUGUAUGGCAACCACCUCCGGCGCCAAAUAGAACUGGCAGACAUAGACAUUCAGUACAAGAAGAAAAAGAUGGAAAAUCUUGCACUGGAGUCCGAAAUAAAAAGAGGACAAUUAGGAAACUGGACCUUGAAAUAAAAAAACUUGAGAGGGAGGUGAGAUAUGCCUUCAAUGUACACUGUAUGCUAACUGUAACACAAAUGUAUUAAUCAUUAUUUUUCUUUCCUCGCCCAGCUCCAAGAAGAUGACACAGCUCAAAAUAAAAAUUAGGUAUAUUCUCGUAAAGUCAAGUGAGCCAUGACAUAUGAGCUCUUAUUGUGAGCACACAGGACGGUGGCAUCUUUCUAAGGUUUUUUUAUUUUCCCAGCAAUCAGUACAACCAAGUCAUCGUUAUAAGGCAUCGCCCUCUUUUGCCCACCCCCCCAGCACCAGGUGUGGCCACUAGCCUAUAUGAAGGCCCAAAAUUGUGUGUUCCUUUCUGCUCUGACAAUGGCAUGCCCAUUCGUGCGAGAUGUGGUGGAUGAAGAAGCACUUGUGCUGAGGAGAGCCUUCAGGCGAGAAAGGGUCUUCAGGGACCGGUUGGACCCACUGGCCUUCCCUGAUGACCAUCUAUAUGAAAGAUACAGGUUUUCUGCAGAUGGCAUCAGGUAUCUAUGCAGACUACUGGGUCCCAGGAUUAAGCACCGCACUGCACGGAGCCAUGCACUGAGUGUGGAGCAAAUGGUUU